CUUUCAUAUGAUGUUCCUUUACUGCCCCAGUCUGAAAUUUAUGAUUGAUUCAGUGUUUCUGAAUAUAU